GCCAGACUCCUACGGGAGGCAGCAGUGGGGGAUAUUGCACAAUGGGGGGAACCCUGAUGCAGCGACGCCGCGUGGGUGAAGAAGCGCCUCGGCGCGUAAAGCCCUGUCAGCAGGGAAGAAAAUGACGGUACCUGAAGAAGAAGCCCCGGCUAACUACGUGCCAGCAGCCGCGGUAAUACGUAGGGGGCAAGCGUUAUCCGGAUUCAUUGGGCGUAAAGCGCGCGUAGGCGGCGCGUCAAGCGGGACCUCUAACCCCGGGGCUCAACCCCGGGCCGGGUCCCGGACUGGCGCGCUCGAGUGCGGUAGAGGCGAGUGGAAUUCCCGGUGUAGCGGUGGAAUGCGCAGAUAUCGGGAAGAACACCGAUGGCGAAGGCAGCUCUCUGGGCCGUCACUGACGCUGAGGCGCGAAAGCUGGGGGAGCGAACAGGAUUAGAUACCCGUGUA
rnacentral:rRNA from 1 species